rnacentral:rRNA from 1 species
GCCAAAUAACUACGAGUAAAAACUUAAAAUUUAAAAGACUUGACGGUACCUCACAACACCCUAGAGGAGCCUGUCCUAUAACCGAUACUCCACGAUUAACCCAACCCCCCCUUGCCAACAGUCUAUAUACCGCCGUCGCCAGCCUACCUUGUGAAAGAAACAAAGUAAGCAAAACAGCCACACACUAGCACGACAGGUCGAGGUGUAACUCAUGGGGGGGACAAAGAUGGGCUACAUUUUCUAACACAGAACACACGAAUAAACUAUGAAAAAGAAACUGAAGGCGGAUUUAGCAGUACACAAAGGACACAAUACUAAGUAGAAACCAAUGCAAUGAGGUGCGUACACACCGCCCGUCAUCCCUGUCA